UUAACAUUGAGGUUGUUAUCUUACCGUGAAAAGUUGGACUUCUUAUCCAAUAUUUUAGACAAAAUGAAAAUUUUAAAAUUAGCACACGAAUCGCGUACCCUAGGGUGCUUUUGAGCGCCAUUUGGAUGAAGCAACUCGAUGAACGAGGCUAAACAUAUCUCAUGUAGGAGAAUACUACCGGUGUAGACUGGAAUAACCAGAUUCCAAAGACUGCCAUUCAAUUCAGACUCUUUGCAUAUUUCGCCAAAAAUAACUGAUUAGAAAUUACAAUAAAAACAGAAAUGAUUGAAUGUAAAUCAGUUUACAUACAUUCAUAUUACAUUAUCAUAUGUGUUGCGACCCAUUUGUUUCCAUUUAUAGAUGCCAUAGAAUAGCGUUUUAGCUCCUUUAAAAUGUUGUUUUUUUCUUUCAGAUUAGAAUCGUAUGACCGCAAUGACAACUUCAGGGGGCCUGUCAUUAUUCUUCCUGAUAUGGUAAACACCGAAUGGCCUAUCACUGGUUAUCAACAGUUAACUAAUGAACACAAAGAGCAUUUGCCUGUAAUUAAUUUCCAUCAAAUUGAAGGCUAUCUCUUAUACAGAAUGGCAGAGGAUAAACAAAUUUCUGGAGAUUUGAAGGCCCUUCAAAAGGGAAAAGAUAUGGCGGAUGGUGGGAGAGUGCUUGCUUGCUCAGUUAUACUAACUGCAAGCGAUACAUAUUUCAGUGGCAUAGUUGGUGCUGCCAUGAAAAAUAAGGUGACGUACAACUACAAGCUUAAAAUCCACUCAACUGGUGACCCCAUUACUUCCCAUUGUGAAUGUCCAGCAGGCAAGGGGCCACAUGGUACAUGUAAGCAUAUUGCAGCAGUUCUAUUACUUCUGCAAUGGUUCACAGAGACGGGCGAAAUUAAAGUAAAGAAGUCAUGCACUGAAAACAUUCAAAAA